AAGUCGUAACAAGGUUUCCGUAGGUGAACCUGCGUAAGGAUCAUUAACACGUAUCCAAACGAUAAAACCCCCCCCCGUGAACCUUCAUCCUGCUCUUGUAACCCGCGUAGUUCCUCUGGCUACGUGCGAACAUUGGAACAGUUACAAUCGAGCGGUAGUUCUAUAUUCAAUGUUUCCCCAAGCAGUCAGUGUCGGAAAGUGUCAUUGAUUGUGCAAGGAUAGCGCUUCUAUGAUUCCUGUAGACCGUACACUCGGGCAGGAGCUUUGCCAAAGGGUCCCCAUGCCCCCUAAUAACCCCACAGUUUAAUGUGAAGCUCAGUGUAAUACAUUGGGUAAAGAAACCGAACAACUGUUAAUAAUGGAUAUCUUGGUUCUC
rnacentral:misc_RNA from 1 species